rnacentral:tRNA from 1 species
AGUUAAUUACUUAGAUAGUAUUAUAUUUUGAAAAUAUAAUUAAAGAGUUUAAAUCUCUUAUUAACUU